GAGGCUGAGGCUGCAAGAGUGUUCGCAAAAGCAGCAAUAAAGGCACUAAAAUGCAAGACACUUCAUAUUUGAUGGUGUCAGCUUCUGCAUUGUUGACAUGAGCAGUAUAUCAGCUUGAGAUCGUAAUUCUACUGCUAGACUUCCUGCCUGUAUUCAAUUAUUGUACAUAUUUUAGGUUUGUAAAUUUGGAGUAUGCGGGAUUGAUCCAUAAAACAUUUUGUCAAGAGUCAUUAAGAGCGUAUUAUUUAUUAUUUUUUACCUUAUUUUUAAAGAAAGACAAUGAGGCGAGAGUACAAAGUAUUAGUGGAAGAGUGGAAGUAGUGAUCGAAUUUUAUGAUGGAACGUGUGAUAGACAUCCCUAAUAGUAAAUGGAAGAACACAUUUUUUAUUACA